CUAAGGCAAAGUGGCAGUUGCUCCCUGCGUAGGUGACGUUAGGAGCCUCAACCUGUCAGCUGCUGCGAGAGGCCUGGCGUGGCAAUAACGCAAAGGCAAACUCUUAAGGAGCACUGUGGUUCUUAGGCAUUAUGAUGAUAUGGGAACAAAAUAAGGUCUCCCACGAAAGCAGAGUCGACAAGAGUCACGCCUUGAAUUGAAGGAACAGGAUCUCCGGCAGGGUCCACAGGGCUCCACCCUGGCUGCAGGACAACAGCUCCAUCUUUUGGACAGCGAUGGGAUUUGCUUAGGGGCCCAGAGAGUAUAGACACUGCCCUCUGUCUCCUCACUUCCACUGCCCCUACCCACUGCCCAAGAAAUGAAAAAGAAAGAGAAGAAAAAGGGAGACAGGCAGCUCUCCAGCGUGGAGAUCAUCAGUCUUGCUUCUCCUUCCCUGCAAGACUAUAUGACUUGCAUUUGCCAUUGUGGAAAAUUUUACAACAUAGUGGAGAGAAAAUAAAUACUUCAACUUUUUUUUUUUUAAUUUAAAGGUGAGCAUAACACUAAGAGGUUAGUGUGAAGUGUGAUGCCAUUCCCAAAGACCUGAGGGCCUCGUGAAAAAAAAAAAAACUACGUACAUUUGAGUAAACCUCUGUCAUGAGAGCAGAAUAAUCACAGAAUAUUGAAAGGAACUAAAUAUGGUAUUUCAGCCAGUCAAGAAGUUACCUCCUUGAUCUCUAAAAUAGCCAUCUCCAUUUCAUUCUGAACACAAUUUUUAUCAUUAAAAAUUUCUGAAGCUGUAGUUCCAUUAUAUGUAUCUAUUUCUUUAGAAAGUAUAUCAAUGAACUAUGGCACACAUGUCUUGUGUACACUGUAAAGCCUACAAAAACAGAAAUGAGAAUGUGACAUAGAAAGAAAUACAAUUCUUCUUUCCCACCACGCCCCAGAGGAGAGUCUGGCACCUCCCGCAGAGUGUGCCUUUCACGUGGAAACCACAGGGCAAUACUGUGUGAGUCCAGCCAGCCCAUGGAGGAUGGAGUGGCAGGCCCUCUUGCAUCUUCACUAGAAAUGUGGGACAUAUGGAUGCACAUUUAGCAAGAAGAUGUUGCUGGAAGAAAGGCAGGCCACUCUAGUUUUGCCAGUGCCAGGUCUCUGAGAUUCGGGGGCUCACCAAAUACCAUGCCAGCCCUCCAUUUGCCAGCCUGGUACAGCUGGGCCAGGUCGCUGCGUCCCCCAUGGAAGGCGGGGGAAGCACUGGUGACCAAGCGGGAGCCUCAGGACCCAGAGUGCACAGAAGGGGCCUCUGCCCUGCAUUAGGCUGGAAGUGAAUGACAAAUAAACAUUCGUUGUACUAACCCACAGAGACAUGGGGAAUUAAUUGAUAAUUGGAGCAGGAUCACACCUAUUCUGACAAAUACACGCAGCAAGUCUAGCUGAUGAGAACUGGAGGCCAAGCUUUGGAAGAUCAGUUAUGUCCACUUGCAGCACGUAGAGGUGCUAGGGACACAAAGGAAGUGUCCCUAACCAGAAAGAACCAGGAAGACACAAACUAUCUGCUAGUACAGUGCACCACCAGUCUGGUUAUUCAUAGGUUGGUGUGUCUGCACGUAAAAACAGUAUCUUUCCUGAAUAUGAAUGUGUUGGUGUUGUUCUGUUCAAAGCAUUUCCAUGUUUAUUGUUUCAUUUGGCUAGCAAGUAUAUAUAUUCAUUCACAUGCAAAAAUCCAUGCAGACUUGGGAACAAAUUGUAUGCCACCUCUAAUGAAGACUUCAUUAAGGUUGUGACAAGUAUGUUGGUGACUCCGCUCUUUCACUGCCUCCAGCUCCCUUCAUGAGGACCACCUUGGGAACCCCUGAAAUCCUGCUGAUGCUGAAAGCUGGAAAGUGACCCUCAAUAUCAGUCACAUGGAAAUCCCUGUGCAGUUAUGUUGGAUCGAUCCUGCCAAAUAAACAUUCUGGACUUCUGAAUUGAAGGUUCCCCUCUUCUAGUUGUCAGCAACACCACCAUAAUAACAG
rnacentral:lncRNA from 1 species